UCUUUAAAAACAUACAAUAUAUUCAAAAAUAUUUUAAGAAAUAUGAAUUUCACAAAAAAUUUAACAUUGCCAUUUUUCCUUAUCAUGAUUCUUGUAGCAAAUAGUAAUGCGGAAACUAGUUUAGAAUGUGCACAAAAAUGUGCUGCCACAUGUCUCUAUUAUCCUGAUUGUGUGUCACGUUGUAUUGAUAAGGUUUGCCAUCCAACUCCUCCUUCUUCUAGAGCAUUGAUCAAUUGUAAACUUGCUUGUUCUGUGAAACGUUGUUCCAAAUUUAAACAAGAUAAGAAGUUAAUGAGCAGCUGCUGGGAUGAGUGUUCAACAAAACAUUGCACCUAGUUAGAACGGCAUAUACUAUUAUGCUAAUUGUUUAGCAAUAAUAAAUUAGAAAAUAAACUUGAUGAAUCAAAUGUAAUCAAGACUUAUGUUGUUUAUGAAGUACUAUUUUUCAAUUCUCCAUCUUUUGAUUUGCAACCUCCUAAUAAAAAGAAUUCAAGGAUCCAUUUGACUA